GCAAAGUUGCUGUGCGGCGUGCGGACGGCCGUGCACACAUUACGCGUGCGUCACAUGGGAAAGGGGGUGGGGGCGGGGGACGGUCGGACAGAAAAGGGCGAGGUAACGCGCGUAUACGAAAGUUCGAUAAGCGUUCGCUUCUUGGACAUGCAGUUCGGGAACGAAUCUAUCAGUGCGCCGAAUGUUCGAGUGAGCGGAGCGACGGGAACAAGACGGAAUAAUGAUUCGGCGCGCGCC